CUGCGUCGCUCACGCUGGGAGCUGUAGACCGGAGCUGUUCCUAUUUGGCCAUCUUGGCUCCUCCCCCGACAAUUUCUAGAAAAAGUCAUAAGAUCAGCAAGAAGAGAAACUGUAGAUUUGCCUCAACUCAACAUGUUAAGUAAUCGCCUGACAUCUACAUAAGACCACCUCUUGGCACCUGGCUACACAAGCUGAAAUGGUAAAACUCCUUGAGAAACCACACAAGGAUGGAAUACUUGCUUAGAGACAUGAGAGUAGCCUAGAAUCUAAGAAUCUGUACUUCCUUCUACAGUUGUCUUUGGAAAAAGAAUAGACAUUCAUGGCAGACCAAAGAUCACUCUCUGAAGGUGUUAUGUGAGAAAUCCACACAGGAGAAACCCAAGAAAACCACGCAGGUAAAUGCUAGCCUGGAAAGACAGAGGGAAAACAUGCCAAGUGGAGCCCACCACAAGGACAGCAGUCAGAGCCCAAGAGCCCAGCUUUAAAAGGGCUGCAUACCAAAAGGAACAAAAGCACAAAACAAACAAACAAACAAACAAACAAGCAAAUGAUGGUGGAAACUAUUUUCAAAACUUCCCUGUUCUGGUAAAGACGUUUUCAGAGCUCAAACUAGUCCUGCUGAAAAUAUUUUUUAAAAUAUGAAAGCAUAGCGGAAAAUGUAUUGUAUGAAAAAGAAAAAAGAAAAAGAAGGAGGAGGAAGAAGAAGAAGAAAGAAGAAAAAGGAGAGGAAGAAGAAGAAGGAGGAGGAGGAGAAGAAGAGGAGGAGGAGGAGGAGGAAAUGGCAGAGACAAUGUAUGUCCCAGAAAGCCUAAAAUGUGUACUGUUUGUCCGUUUAUAGAAAAAGUGUGCCAGUCCCUACUCUGUUCCCAAUUUUAAAAACAAAUAAAUAAAAAGAAAAACAAGCAAGUCUCUCAGCCAAGAAAGAAUCGAUGGGAACUUUUUCAACUUUAUAAAGUGGAUCUACAAAAAACUACAACUAACACUAACGUCACACCUAAUGGUGAAAGUCUGAAUGUUUUCCCUCUAAGACUAGGAAAAGGUGGCAUGGAUGUCCACUCUCCCUACUCUAUUCAGCAUUGUAUCAAAAGUUCUUAUCAGUGAAAUAAGACAAGAAAACAAUAAAUGGCAUCCAUAUUGGAAAAGAAGUAACACUGUCUUUAUUUGCAGAUGACAUUAUAAUCUAAAUAGAAAAUCUUAUGGAAUCUGCUAAAAAGCUAAUAGAACCAAUAAGCGAGUUUAGCAUAGUUACAAGACACAACAUAUAAAAAUUAAUUAUAUUUCAAAAUACUAGCAAUGAACAAUUAAAUUUUCCUUUUAAAAUUUUCAACAACAUCAAGACAUGAACCACUGGGGGAUAAACCCCAUGAAACAUGGCAGAAAAAAAUUCAGGAA
rnacentral:lncRNA from 10 species